CAGUAGCCGCGGUAAUACGUAGGUGGCAAGCGUUGUCCGGAAUUAUUGGGCGUAAAGGGCUCGCAGGCGGUUUCUUAAGUCUGAUGUGAAAGCCCCCGGCUCAACCGGGGAGGGUCAUUGGAAACUGGGAAACUUGAGUGCAGAAGAGGAGAGUGGAAUUCCACGUGUAGCGGUGAAAUGCGUAGAGAUGUGGAGGAACACCAGUGGCGAAGGCGACUCUCUGGUCUGUAACUGACGCUGAGGAGCGAAAGCGUGGGGAGCAAACAGGAUUAGAGACCCCAGUAGUCCCUGUCUCUUAUAA
rnacentral:rRNA from 1 species